rnacentral:rRNA from 1 species
AUACGUAGGGAGCGAGCGUUAUCCGGAAUUAUUGGGCGUAAAGGGUGCGCAGGCGGCCUGUUAAGUUUAAGGUGAAAGCGUGGGGCUUAACCCCAUACAGCCUUAGAUACUGGCAGGCUAGGGGACUGGAGAGGAAAGGGGAAUUCCAUGUGGAGCGGUAAAAUGCGUAGAUAUAUGGAGGAACACCAGGGGCGAAGGGCGCUUUCUAGCCAGUAACUGACGCUGAGGCACGAAAGCGUGGGGAGCAAAUAGGAUUAGAUACCCUAGUAGUCCACGCUGUAAACGAUGAAUACUAAGUGUUGGGGAAACUCAGUGCUGCAGCUAACGCAAUAAGUAUUCCGCCUGUGGAGUAUGCACGCAAGUGUGAAACUCAAAGGAAUUGACGGGG